GUUGAGUUUGUGGUGAUCGAGCCCUUCCCCAAAAUGGAGACAACACUGGAAGACUGUACCCAAGAAGCGCGGCCACGAGAAAGAUAAGAUUUAUGAGGACCCACCCCCAUCAUGGAAUUACCUCGCUUCCGGCCAGCACCGAUCCAGAGCAACACCCAGCUUCCUUAAAUGCUCCCCCAAAGCCCCUGCCACGGGCCCAGUCCUCUGUGUGGUCCUGUGCCCCCCCCCCAUCGCUGCUUGUUCUGCCCCAGCAGUUCACUUGGGACCCUUGGAGAUACUCCGCCUCCCUGCCCCCUGCGUGCAGCUGUGGUGGAAUCACUUCCUCUCUUAGAAAAAACAACAACAACAACAACAACAAAAACCUGGCCUUAGCUAUUAGGAUUGGAAUGGCUGACAGAAAUCUGUAUCACUCCCCUGCCAUUUUUCAGAUAAAUGUGGGCCUGGCUCAGUAAGUUAAACAUGAUUUGAAUUUCUGAUU